rnacentral:tmRNA from 1 species
GUUUAUUAAAUUCGUAGCAAGUCCGGGCCCAUGACCCGGUCAACAACGUGGAAAAGGCAUGACUGCCAACGAUAAUUCCGCUCUCGCUGCUUAAUUAGCAGCGUGUCCGCUAGUUCCGAGCCAGUAGGCGCUAGUCCAGACGCCGACAACGCAGGCUACCGACUCCACGGUUUGUACAGCCAAAUGAGAAGGGAAUCACAACUGUGCUAGCGUAAGCGGCCCUCGCCUUAAGUAGCCGCCCGCGCGAAACUUAACUUAAGGCUACACUCGUAGAUGCUCUUGCUGGUUCGCACAACGGAUCAGGGGUUCGACUCCCCUCGCCUCCACCA